rnacentral:rRNA from 1 species
AUACGGAGGAUGCAAGCGUUAUCCGGAUUCAUUGGGUUUAAAGGGUGCGCAGGCGGAUUGGUAGGUCAGGGGUGAAAUCCCACAGCUCAACUGUGGAACUGCCUUUGAUACUGUCAGUCUAGAGUAUAGUUGAAGUGGGCGGAAUGUGUCAUGUAGCGGUGAAAUGCUUAGAUAUGACACAGAACACCGAUCGCGAAGGCAGCUCGCUAAGCUAUAACUGACGCUCAUGCACGAAAGCGUGGGGAUC